rnacentral:rRNA from 1 species
CCUACGGGUGGCUGCAGUGAGGAAUAUUGGUCAAUGGGCGGAAGCCUGAACCAGCCAAGUAGCGUGCAGGAUGACGGCCCUACGGGUUGUAAACUGCUUUUAUCCGGGAACAACGCGCCCUACGCGUAGCGUUCCGCAUGUACCGGAAGAAAAAGGAUCGGCUAAUUCCGUGCCAGCAGCCGCGGUAAUACGGAGGGUGCGGGCGUUAUCCGGAUUUUUUGGGUUUAAAGGGGGCGCAGGCGGAAGGUCAAGCGAGCGGUAAAAUUGCGGGGCUCAACCGGGCCCAGCCGUGGAAACUGGCGUGCUUGAGUCCGCGAGAAGCAGGCGGAAUGCGUGGUGUAGCGGUGAAAUGCAUAGAUAUCACGCAGAACUCCGAUUGCGAAGGCAGCAUACCGGCGCCCAACUGACGCUCAGGCACGAAAGCGUGGGUAUCGAACAGGAUUAGAUACCCGAGUAGUC